rnacentral:sRNA from 1 species
CUGAAGUUCUAGGAGGCUGAUGUCCUUUGUUUGUCUACAAAAUAGGCAUAGCUCAGGCUCAGUGGUGAAAGCUUCUUCCCACUGCUUUGCAAAUGUGCUUCAACCCUACCCUGGAGGGGUCACUUCUGGGAAUCAAAGAAUAAUUCAAUCUCCAUUCAGUCUUUGGGAUCU